AAUGAUUUAGGUAUUGGGCCAGUGAGCUUGUUUCGGUCCAAAUGUAAGGACUCGAGGUUAGGCAACUGGGAAAGUGAGCUUGGUAUUGGGCCUGAGAGGUUGUUGGCGGAAAGGUAAAGUAGCUGGAGAUUUUUAAGUUGGCCCAAGAAAGAUGGUAUCGGGCCUGAGACACCGGUAUAUUCGAUAAAAAGGUACUUUAGUUUUGUGAGCUUGGCGAUAGUGGGCUGAAUUGGGCCUGUGAGCCUGGAAAGUUUAUGGAAUUCGAGGUUUUCGAGAUAUGGGAGGUCACCGAUGGACGGGGNNNNNNNNNNNNNNNNNNNNNNNNNNNNNNNNNNNNNNNNNNNNNNNNNNNNNNNNNNNNNNNACGGGGGUAUGUGGCCCGAGAGAUUUGUGUCUGGCACAGAAGAUUUCAUAAUUAAGGCCGUGAUACGAUGCGUUUUGAUGUCGCACUUGACGCAAUACCAAUCACAACAGUCCGUUUGUGGAUUCCAUGAGGCUAGAAAGUAAGGGUUGUUGAGUUCCUUCUUGAAUCUGAGGAGUACCUUCUUGUCUUGAGGGUUACAUUUCUCAGAUGCAACUGGGGACAGUAGUAGUAGUGAGAGGAGACAUAAUGCUAGAACCAUUGCAGUUCCACCAAACUCGGUUCUCAUUUUUUGUUGUAAUUUGAACUUUAAUGGUAGGGCAGUGGGGUGGGAGAGAAUUGAUGGAACAUUGGUACUUAUAGGAAUAAUAAUGAGAAACACAUGACUUGUUAGUGUCCUGCAAUAAAAUAAACGGUAAUGCUAAACAGUGCCCUUGGGACACUAAUUAAACAUAUUAAAAAAAAAAAUAAAUGAUAAAGUAAAUAAUGGGAGAGAAUAACUUUUCACUUCAUUAAAACAUUGAAUGCACAAUUUACGAGAUAAAACUUCUAUAUUUGUAUCCGGAGGCACUGUUUAGCAUUUUUCCUAAAAUAAAAUAAUGAAUUACUGUAUAUAUUUAUGUCAAUAUCAAUUUUCUGUGCAUGCUUCAUCGUAACAUUGUGAAAGUUGUAAAUAGUACUUCUAUAACAAGUAAAUAAAGUCUAAAAAUAUAUUAUAUUUUAAAGAAUUGGAAAAAAUAAUUAAAAGAAAUUAAUUAGUCACUUGAACUCAAUAUAUUGAUAUAUUGUUUAUGUAAAAUUUUACAAUGUUACAACUAUCAUAAAUAUAAUUUUGGUAGAACUCGUUAUAAGUUUUAUAUGUGGUCAAGAUUAUAUAUGUUACUCAAAUACUAUAUCCGGUCAUAAAUAUAAGAGGAAAUUUACUUUUUAGAUUCAUUGAGAAUUUAAUGUAUCUGGUUCAUAAUAUGAACUAGAUGCAUUAGAUUCUCAAUGAAUCUAAAAAUCAAAAUUUCUCUUAUAUUUAGGACCCGAGAGAGUAUAAGUAUAUUGAUUAAUUAAUAUAUUUGAAAUAUAUUGUCAUAUAUUUUGUCCUUGAUUAUAUGUUACUCCCUAUGUGAUCAAAUACAUUAAUUAUCAUUGAUCGUUAGUUGAUUCAGUGAUGAUUGAUGCUGAACUUGGUGUAGGGAGUUCCACUGUUCGAUACCAGAUUAAACUUAUGGUAAAAGAAAAAAAACAAAACAUUAAUUAUUAAGUAAAUUUAAAAGGAUGAAUUUUACGUAUAUUUUGUUAGGGAGGAAGAUAUUUGGAUUCUCUUUGAUUUUCCUAAAAUAUAUUUAACUUAGAAAGCGAAAAUAUUGUAUAUCUAAUUGUAUUUAUGCGUGUUGUAAAAUAAAAAUACCUUAAAGUUUUGCUUAAAUAUAAAAAAUGUGAAAAAUUAAAACUUUAGAGAAUUAUGAUAAUUUUUGGAAAAUGCUAAACCGAGCACUAGUAAGGCAUAUUAAUAAGAAAAUUUUAGGCAAAAUUACAUUGUAUGUCCUUUAUUUUAUUUUUUUUGUAACACUUUGGUCCUUUAUGUUUUUUUUGUAACACUUUGGUCCUUUAUCAUUUCUUUUGUAACAUUUUGGUCCUUUAUCUUUUUUUAUAACACUUUGGUCCUUUAUUUUUUUUUAUUUGUAACAUAUAGGUCAUUUAUUUUUUAUAAAUAAAUAAGAUAAAGAACUAAAAUGUUAUAAAAAAAAAGACUAAAGUGUUACAAAUAAAAAAAGAUAAAAACUAAAGUGUUACAAAAAAAAAAUAAAGGAUCAAAGUGUUACAAAAAAAAGAUAAAGGAUUAAAUUGUUACAGAGAAAAGUUAAAAGAUCAAAGUNNNNNNNNNNNNNNNNNNNNNNNNNNNNNNNNNNNNNNAAGUGUUAAAAAAAAAAAAAAAGUGCAAAAAAAUUAUUUUUCUAUCCUUAAUUUUAUCUUUAAUUUUCAUUUUUAAUAUGAUUAAUAAAUAAAUGUCCUGAAUAUACUAUUUAGCCUGACCCAUAAUUUAUUUAUUAUAAAUAUAGUCAAAACAUAAACUACUUUAUAUAGUACGCAUUUAUUUUCUUAUACACAUCUUUUGAUAUGAGGAAGUACGUACUACUGUGCUAUACGACAAGUUAAAAGUGGUUUUGGCCCAACCAAAAUCUGUACUUGUACUUUACUCAUUUGUCUACACUAUGAUUAUGGGCUUUAUCCUUUCAUAAGAGAUCACGACUCACGAGGUGGGUUGUUCCAAUUCAAUUAUUGCGUGUAGCAGUGCCAUUUUCCUAUCACUGAGCUGUAUGGCAGUGAAGUAAGUAUACGUACCCUUCUACCAAAAUAAUUGUUUCAUUGAAAAUUGAAAAUGUCAAUUGUUUUGAGACUAAUGUUACGGUUCACAAUUUUUUUAAUAAAAAUAUGUUAUUUUAGAAAGGAGAGAGUGCAUUAUUAAACACAAAUGGUUUCCAAUGGUUUGUGUUGGGAUAGUGGGAGAUAUUUUUAGAUGGUCAUUUGAUUAAAGAUAUUAUAUUUGGUCACACUCAUAAAAUAAAAUAAGUNNNNNNNNNNNNGAGGGAGUGUUGAUGAAUAGUUGAGAAGUUUCAUUAAAUUUAUUGGUCAAGAAAAUGCUUAUGUGGUGGAGCUUUAGGGGUGCUAGUGCUAGAGGGCCUCAUUAGGGAGCUUAAUUUUUGAGUGGAAUUAGUAGUAGCAUUUAAGCUAGAUCUCUUGUUGAGAAAAUUCGUCAGUUUCUAGACUUGGAAUGGGACAAUCGUAGUUCAUUACUCUUAGAUUAUAUAAGAAACUAGUACAAUUGUAGCUCAACUUAGCAAUUUUUUUCUUCUUAAAAAAGGUUACAAAGAUGACAUUUAAGUCAUUCCAACUUAAUACCCCAAAUAAGUCACUAAGAAUGAUACAAGAAAAUAUAAAAAUUUAUCUGUCUCUUUAAAAACCUUAUCAAAGAUUCAAAAAGAGUACAUAGAUAAACUAAAGUACUAAACAUAAAUUCUUAUUCUUAGUUAUAAUCUCAUUGAGACAUGAGAUUCUUAGUAUUAUUAGCAAGUUUUCAUAAUCACUUGCAUUUUGAAAGUGGUGCUCCACACAAACACUUGUUAUGAAGAUAAGCAUACUUAUCAAAAUUAUCCUGCAAUCUUUUCGUCCCACCUUGAGGUAUCUGACCACACAACUUAUUAUAACUCACAUUAAACUGUUGCAAUUCCACUUUCGCCAAUUCAACCGGAAGCUUACCAUAAAUGUUAUUAUGAUUAAUAUCCAACCAUAUCAAACUCUUAAUCGGAAAUUGAACUUUCGAAAAAUCAAACGACAAUAAAUUCCUCGAAAUGUCAAUCUUUUGUGUCUUUUUCUUGCUCCCGAAAAGCACGGAAGCAUCGCCUACGAGCUUGUUCCUCGACAAGUCUAUCCUCUCUGGGUCAAUUUGGCCCAAUGAGGUUGGAAUAGUUCCAGAAAGCUGGUUGCGGGAUAGAAUAAUAUCUGGCCCGGGCUUUUUAAAUGAACCAAAUGAUUCUGGAAUUGUGCCCGUGAGCUUGUUUCCGUCCAAGCGUAAGGAAGUGAGUUUAGGCAAUUGAGAAAGUGAGCUUGGUAUUGGGCCUGAGAGGUAGUUGCCAGUAAGGUGAAGAAGUAUGAGGUUUUUAAGUUGGGCCAAAAAAGGCGGUACUGGGCCUGAGACAUUGGUAUAUUCGAUAAAAAGAUAUUUUAAAUUUUUGAGCUUAGCGAUUGUGGGCGGAAUUGGGCCUGUGAGAUAAGGUAGUCUAUGGAAUGAGAGACUUUGGAGGUAAGGUAGGUCACCUACCGAAGGAGGGAUAUGGCCCGUAAGAUUGGUGAAUACAGGGCUAUCUCUAAUAGAGAGGGAGAUUAUACGGUCUGUUAUUUCAUCACAUUGGAUGAGGUACCAGCCACAACAAGGUGUUUUUGGAUCCCAUGAGGCUAGAAGGUAAGGGUUGUUAAGAUCUUUUUUGAUUUGGAGUAACACUUUCUUAUCUUGUGAGUUGCAAUCUUUUAUUGGUGUAAUUGGUGUAAUUGGCAUGACAGAGAGAGAUUGAGAGGAUUGUGGAGGAGACGAUCCAAAUCCAAGUGGAGAGAGUGACAAAAGGGAGAGGAGGGUGAGAGUGAGAGCUAUUGUAGCUCUACAAAACAUGGUUUCUAUUUUUGGUUGGAAUAUUAUAAUGUUGAAUGAUACUAUUAAGUGGGAGAAUUGGUGUUUUUAUAGAAUUUAAUUAGAAAAACAUGCUAAACGUGACUUAUUAGUAUGGUGUGGAAGAAAACAGUGUAUGGAUAAGGGAAAGAUUUUUACUGACAAAAAGAUAAGGAAAAUCUAAAAUGGAAUGAUUGUGUAUUUUUGUUUGUUCUCUAUGGUAAAUACUAGUGGUAAAUAUUAUGCUCAGUCCAACUUAUUUCUAACUUAUUAGUAAUUCAUAAUGUUAAAAUAAAUUGUUUCUCUUUCAUGCUUUUCACUUUAUACAUAUUUUAAAAAUAUAUAAAAUAUCAUAUGACAACAAAUUUUUCAUAUUCAAAUAUCAUUUUUUUUUUUAUGAAACAUAUGUAAGUAUAGAAAGUAAAAAUUAUAAACGAAAUAGAAAAAAAAAUAAAAAUACUAUAUGUUAUCAAAUUCUAAAUAUGUGUGAAUUUUUUAGUUGAUGUCAUAUAUACCUCAUCAACUAAGUCUUUGGUUGAUGAUGUGUUCAAAGGUAAAACCGGUGGUUUACAUGGGCACACCGCACAUGGUUAUUCUUUACAUAUGUACUUCCAUCUGUGACAAUAUAAAUUAAGAAUAUAAAAAGUAUUUAACCGUGCAUAAAUCAAUAUUUUUAAUAAAAAGCAUGUGUUUCUAUCUUGCAGAACUUUUGGUUCUCUUUGGCCUCUUGUCAGUUUGUGGAUUGACUCCUCUCUAGUGACUGCUCAGGCUAUUUCGGAUCACUUUAUUCAAUUUACUAUUUCAGUAGGGGUUUCUUGUGCACGACGUUCAUUCAUGCAACUCAUAUGACUUGCUUGCGUGUGGGUUGUGUGGACUGAACGAAACCAUUGAUUGUUUAGAGGCUCGACACAUUCAGUAAUCAGAUGUUGGACAAGAUUAGGUCUUUCUCUUAUAGGUGGUUAAAAGCGACGAGUAGUACUUUAGUUUUGAACAGCAAUAAUUGAUGGUCUAGUCCUAUGUUUUGUUUGGACCUUGUAUAAUUUUCCUUAUGAUUUUAUUUUUUGUAUUUUGAUCUCUCUUGUAACUUUAUAAUCUCUCUUGACACACCUUAUAUUAAGUAGAUUACUUUUUAUAUAUACAUAUGUCAUUUUGAUUUGUUAAAAAGAAAUAUUUUUUUUACACAUAGAUUUGAGAUAGUACUACUGUACGGGUACUAUACAAUAGUAUCCGAUAAAGGAGUUAAAGUUGUAACCAAGAAAAAAAGAUAAAGGAGUUAAAGUGGCUUUCGUCCCACCAAAAUUUGUACUCACUCAUUUUGUCUACACUUUCAUCAAUAAUGUUUUCUUUUUAGGCCUCUCAUAUAUCUUUUAUAUCCCCAAAUAUUUUAAUUUUGCUCUUGCUAAAAACUUCGGUUCGUAAAAAUCGAAAUUUUUUCUAGUUCAAAUUCAGGGAAAGUUCGGUUAACAAAGAUCGAAAAAAAAUUUCAAGGCAAAAAAAAUUUGGUUCGUAACAACCAAAAUUUUUAUUAAAGGGUAAAAAUAUAAAAUUCAGAAGGGAAAAAUGAACCAUGACGAACCUAAAGAGAAAACAUCUUCAUCAAUCAUCAUGGGCUUCAGGGAUUGUGUUCUUCAAUUUUCAUAAGAGGUCACAUGGUGGGUUGUUCAACUUCAAUUAUUGCUUGUAGCAGUGCCAUUUUCCUACUAUCACUAUGCUUUUAUGCCAUGCAUGCUGUAUCGCAAAGAAGUACUAUAUGAUGGUGGAUUUACUCCUUUCCUCCCAAAAUAGAUCAUUGAAUACACCACGUACCUUCAGUUAAUGAGCACGCUACCUUCAGUUUUGAACUUCAUUAAUUAACCACAAGUUUUUUAGUUAUUGAUCAAGUAUACAUUUUUUAUUGACACUAGUUAUUCAAGUAUACAUGAUUUAGAUAUGUUUGAAUAUAUAAUAUGAUAUUUAACAAAUUAAAUGAUUGAACUCAAGUGAUUAAUAAGGAUUAUUUAAGGAACAAAUUGUUGAAAAGAACUUUAGUUUGAUUUUUGAGUGAUAUCAUUUUUGUCUGACAUUACUUACGUGUCUCAAAUUUGCAUUAGGGAGUUGCUAAAUUUUACGAAGGAGUGUCAUAAGAAAGACAAGAAUUGUAUGUGUAUACUUGAACAAAUAAAAUUAAAGGUGCGAAGUAGGUAUUUUUGAGUGAUAUUAUUUUUGUCUGACAUUACUUACUCGUCUCAAGAUUUUUAGUAUGUGUAUAGUUUAAAUCAGCGGCACAUAUUCAUUCUUGCUUUUCGUCUCCACAAAGCUUCGUAAAGACCAACAUUUUCCUUUGCAUUAACAUGAUCUCUUUCUUCUAGAAACUCGAGAGUUUUACACACACAAAAAAAAAACACACCAUAAUAUUCAUUAAACACUUGACAUUGUAGUUCAAAUAUGCACUUGAAAAUCAUAGUUAAUUAUGUAAAAUAGAUGGUUAAUGAGUUACAACACUUUCUUAAAUUCAUUAAUCAACCACAUAUUUAAAUUGCAUUAACACUUAAAUUAUUGUUGAAUUUUAAUUUCAAAUUAAAUAUUAUUUCUUUUCAAUUUCUUUUUACGGUUUCUAAAACUCGAUAUCUCUAGCAUUAUUUCAGAAAUUAUAAAAAUGUGAAAACACUAUUUUUAUUGUAAAAAAAAAAAAACAUUAAUUGUUCCUAACAAGUGAUUGAACUUAAGUUAUUUAGGUUAGUGAUGCCGUAAACAAGAUUGGUCUCAUUCACAAUUUUCUUUAUUAAAACAGGCUCGUAAAUUAACCUUUGAAAAAUAAUUCUUAAUUUUAACCAAGGUUUUGCGAAGGGAAAAAAUAAUAUAUCACAUUAAUUUUAACAGAGUCGUUUUUAUUAUAAAGUUUUGAAAAAUAAAUUAACAAUUUCAUUUUGAAACCACACAAGUUUAAAACACUGAGGUUAAUUUAUAAUUCUUAAUUUUUUUUGGAUUUCACCACCAAUUUAAUCUGGUUCGGCAAUUAGUUCUGGCAUCAAAUAAUUUCAGCCUAUUCCGAUUGCAGUUGCUAUCAUUCUUAAUUUUAACAAGCUAAGGUUUUGCGAAGCGAAAAAAUAAUAUCACAUUAAAAGAAACUAUAACGGCAGCUCAACUUAGCAAUUGAACUUUGUCAAAAGAAAAAAAACUUAGCAAUUGAACAUUGAACAAAUUGCAUGCAAAUCAUAUCGUACUCAAAUACAAACUCUCAUUCUUAUGUCUCAUUGAAAACAUGAGAUUCAUUUAUUGUCAACUUAGCAAGUUUUCUUUUAUCACUUGCAUUUUGGAAGUGGUUUGCCACACAAACACUUGUUAUGAAGAUAAGCAUACUCAUCAAACCUGUCCUGCAAUCUCCCAGUUCCACCCUGAGGUAUCGCACCACACAAUCUAUUAUAACUCACAUUAAACUGCUGCAAAUUUUCGACUUUCGUCAAUGCAACCGGAAUCUUCCCAUAAAUCUUAUUAUGAUUAAUAUCUAACCAUAUCAAACUCUGUUUCGGAAAAUCAACUUUUGAAAAAUCAAAUGACAAUAAAUUCCUCGAAACAUCAAGUAUUUGUGUCUUUUUCUUGCUCCCGAAAAGCACAGAAGCAUCACCUUCAAAUUUGUUUCUCGACAAGUCUAUCCUAUCAGGAUCUAAUUGGCCCAAUGAAGCCGGAAUAGGCCCAGAAAGCUGGUUGUGAGAUAAGAUGAGAUCUGGGCCGGGCUUUUUGAAUGACCCAAAUGAUUCUGGAAUUGGGCCCGUGAGCUUGUUUCGGUCCAAGUGCAAGGACUCGAGUUUAGGCAAUUGGGAAAGUGAGCUUGGUAUUGGGCCUGAGAGGUUAUUGGUGGAAAGGUGAAGAAGUUGAAGGUUUUUAAGUUCGGCCAAGAAAGGCGGUAUUGAACCUGAGACAUUGGUAUAUUCGAUAAAAAGAUAUUUGAGAUUUUUUAGUUUAGCGAUUGCGGGCUGAAUUGGGCCUGUGAGAUAAGGUAGUUUAUGGAAUGUGAGAGAUUCAAGGUAAGGGAGGUCACCUACCGAAGGAGGGAUAUGGCCCGAGAAAUUGGUGAAUGCCGGGCUAUCCAAAAUAUCG
rnacentral:lncRNA from 1 species